rnacentral:tRNA from 1 species
GCCAUCGUGGUGUAAUGGUCAGCACGCUCGACGCGUAACCGAGAGGUCCGAGGUUCGAUUCCCGGCGAAGGUG